rnacentral:rRNA from 1 species
AGGUAAGCUACUAAGAGCGAAUGGUGGAUGCCUUGACUGGUAAAGGCGAUGAAGGACGUACUAGACUGCGAUAAGCUACGGGGAGCUGUCAAGAAGCUUUGAUCCGUAGAUUUCCGAAUGGGGCAACCCAAUGUAUAGAGAUAUACAUUACCUAUAUAGGAGCGAACGAGGGGAAUUGAAACAUCUUAGUACCCUCAGGAAAAGAAAUCAAUAGAGAUUGCGUCAGUAGCGGCGAGCGAAAGCGCAAGAGGGCAAACCCAGUGCUUGCACUGGGGGUUGUAGGACUGCAAUGUGCAAGAGGUAAGUUUAGCAGAACAUUCUGGAAAGUAUAGCCAUAGAGGGUGAUAGUCCCGUAUGCGAAAAACAAACCUUAGCUAGCAGUAUCCUGAGUAGGGCGGGACACGAGAAAUCCUGUCUGAAGCUGGGUCGACCACGAUCCAACCCUAAAUACUAAUACCAGAUCGAUAGUGCACAAGUACCGUGAGGGAAAGGUGAAAAGAACUGAGGUGAUCAGAGUGAAAUAGAACCUGAAACCAUUUGCUUACAAUCAUUCAGAGCACUAUGUAGCAAUACAGUGUGAUGGACUGCCUUUUGCAUAAUGAGCCUGCGAGUUGUGGUGUCUGGCAAGGUUAAGCAAACGCGAAGCCGUAGCGAAAGCGAGUCUGAAUAGGGCGCUUAGUCAGAUGCUGCAGACCCGAAACGAAGUGAUCUAUCCAUGAGCAAGUUGAAGCUAGUGUAAGAACUAGUGGAGGACUGAACCCAUAGGCGUUGAAAAGCCCCGGGAUGACUUGUGGAUAGGGGUGAAAGGCCAAUCAAACUUCGUGAUAGCUGGUUCUCUCCGAAAUAUAUUUAGGUAUAGCGUUGUGUCGUAAUAUAAGGGGGUAGAGCACUGAAUGGGCUAGGGCAUACACCAAUGUACCAAACCCUAUCAAACUCCGAAUACCUUAUAUGUAAUCACAGCAGUCAGGCGGCGAGUGAUAAAAUCCGUCGUCAAGAGGGAAACAACCCAGACUACCAGCUAAGGUCCCUAAAUCUUACUUAAGUGGAAAACGAUGUGAAGUUACUUAAACAACCAGGAGGUUGGCUUAGAAGCAGCCAUCCUUUAAAGAAAGCGUAAUAGCUCACUGGUCUAGUGAUUUUGCGCGGAAAAUAUAACGGGGCUAAAGUAAGUACCGAAGCUGUAGACUUGACUUUGUCAAGUGGUAGGAGAGCGUUCUAUUUGCGUCGAAGGUAUACCGGUAAGGAGUGCUGGAGCGAAUAGAAGUGAGCAUGCAGGCAUGAGUAGCGAUAAUUAAUGUGAGAAUCAUUAACGCCGUAAACCCAAGGUUUCCUACGCGAUGCUCGUCAUCGUAGGGUUAGUCGGGUCCUAAGUCGAGUCCGAAAGGGGUAGACGAUGGCAAAUUGGUUAAUAUUCCAAUACCAACAUUAGUGUGCGAUGGAAGGACGCUUAGGGCUAAGGGGGCUAGCGGAUGGAAGUGCUAGUCUAAGGUCGUAGGUGCUUAUACAGGCAAAUCCGUAUAAGAAUACACCGAGAACUGAAAGGCUUUUUGAAGUCUUCGGAUGGAUAGAAGAACCCCUGAUGCCGUCGAGCCAAGAAAAGUUUCUAAGUUUAGCUAAUGUUGCCCGUACCGUAAACCGACACAGGUGGGUGGGAUGAGUAUUCUAAGGCGCGUGGAAGAACUCUCUUUAAGGAACUCUGCAAAAUAGCACCGUAUCUUCGGUAUAAGGUGUGGUUCGCUUCGUAUUAGGAUUUACUCCGAAAGCGAAGAAACUUACAACAAAGAGUCCCUCCCGACUGUUUACCAAAAACACAGCACUCUGCUAACUCGUAAGAGGAUGUAUAGGGUGUGACGCCUGCCCGGUGCUCGAAGGUUAAUUGAUGGGGUUAGCGUAAGCGAAGCUCUUGAUCGAAGCCCGAGUAAACGGCGGCCGUAACUAUAACGGUCCUAAGGUAGCGAAAUUCCUUGUCGGUUAAAUACCGACCUGCAUGAAUGGCGUAACGAGAUGGGAGCUGUCUCAAAGAGGGAUCCAGUGAAAUUGUAGUGGAGGUGAAAAUUCCUCCUACCCGCGGCAAGACGGAAAGACCCCGUGGACCUUUACUACAGCUUGACACUGCUACUUGGAUAAGAAUGUGCAGGAUAGGUGGGAGGCUUUGAGUAUAUGACGCCAGUUGUAUAUGAGCCAUUGUUGAGAUACCACUCUUUCUUAUUUGGGUAGCUAACCAGCUUGAGUUAUCCUCAAGUGGGACAAUGUCUGGUGGGUAGUUUGACUGGGGCGGUCGCCUCCCAAAUAAUAACGGAGGCUUACAAAGGUUGGCUCAGAACGGUUGGAAAUCGUUCGUAGAGUAUAAAGGUAUAAGCCAGCUUAACUGCAAGACAUACAAGUCAAGCAGAGACGAAAGUCGGUCUUAGUGAUCCGGUGGUUCUGUGUGGAAGGGCCAUCGCUCAAAGGAUAAAAGGUACCCCGGGGAUAACAGGCUGAUCUCCCCCAAGAGCUCACAUCGACGGGGAGGUUUGGCACCUCGAUGUCGGCUCAUCGCAUCCUGGGGCUGGAGCAGGUCCCAAGGGUAUGGCUGUUCGCCAUUUAAAGCGGUACGCGAGCUGGGUUCAGAACGUCGUGAGACAGUUCGGUCCCUAUCUGCCGUGGGCGUAAGAAGAUUGAAGAGAUUUGACCCUAGUACGAGAGGACCGGGUUGAACAAACCACUGGUGUAGCUGUUGUUCUGCCAAGAGCAUCGCAGCGUAGCUAAGUUUGGAAAGGAUAAACGCUGAAAGCAUCUAAGCGUGAAGCCAACUCUAAGAUGAAUCUUCUCUAAGCUCUCUAGAAGACUACUAGUUUGAUAGGCUGGGUGUGUAAUGGAUGAAAGUCCUUUAGCUGACCAGUACUAAUAGAGCGUUUGGCUUAUCUUU